rnacentral:rRNA from 1 species
AACGAACGCUGGCGGCAUGCCUAACACAUGCAAGUCGAACGCGUAGGUAGCAAUACACGAGUGGCGGACGGGUGAGUAACGCGUGGGAACCUGCCCAGUGGUAGGGAAUAACUGCGGGAAACUGCAGCUAAUACCCUAUACGCCCUUUGGGGGAAAGAUUCAUCGCCAUUGGAGGGCCCGCGUCGGAUUAGCUAGUUGGCGGGUAAUGGCCCACCAAGGCAACGAUCCGUAGCUGGUCGAGAGGAUGAUCAGCCACACUGGGACUGAGAUACGGCCAGACUCCUACGGGAGGCAGCAGUGGGGAAUAUUGGACAAUGGGGAAACCCUGGAUCCAGCAAUGCCGCGUGAGUGAAGAAGGCCUU